UUUAACACGAAAGGUUUAACCGUCAUCUCCAACUCGGUAGAUAUUCCUUGCGAUUCGGAUUCGGAUUCCUUGACUAUGCUUCAUCGUCCUCGAGUGUGCUUGAAGUUGCUUGCCUUGAGAUCGAGCUUGUUGGGGGAGGUUUCGUGUUCAAGAACAUGUGGGGUUUUGAAAUCAGCUUGGUCAUGCCUCAAGGAUAUGAGACAGAAGAAUUUGUUGUCUUUGCUUCGAUUGAAGGUUAUUAAAGAUAAUGUUAAUCUCUGAAUGCAAACCAGAUCAUGUAACUGUGGGCAAUGUGUUGGGAGCCUGUGUGGAGAUUUCAUCUCUAGAAUUGGGGAGCCAAGUCCAUGCCUAUAAUAUAAAAAUCGGACUGUUGUUUGAUCGGUUCAUAACUAA